GUCCAGACUCCUACGGGAGGCAGCAGUGGGGAAUAUUGCACAAUGGGGGAAACCCUGAUGCAGCGACGCCGCGUGAGUGAAGAAGUAUCUCGGUAUGUAAAGCUCUCUCAGCAGGGAAGAAAAUGACGGUACCUGACUAAGAAGCCCCGGCUAACUACGUGCCAGCAGCCGCGGUAAUACGUAGGGGGCGAGCGUUAUCCGGAUUCACUGGGUGUAAAGGGAGCGUAGACGGCCAUGCAAGCCAGGGGUGAAAGCCCGGGGCGCAACCCCGGGACUGCCCUUGGAACUGCAUGGCUGGAGUGCGGGAGGGGCAGGCGGAAUUCCUGGUGUAGCGGUGAAAUGCGUAGAUAUCAGGAGGAACACCGGCGGCGAAGGCGGCCUGCUGGACCGCGACUGACGUUGAGGCCCGAAAGCGUGGGGAGCAAACAGGAUUAGAUACCCGAGUACA
rnacentral:rRNA from 1 species